rnacentral:lncRNA from 1 species
UGGGCCUCUACGAGGGAGCUGAACACGCCAUCGAUCUUACCCCUGGAGCCGUGCGUUUUAGCCGACAACCGUGCCAUUAUGCUGUUGAUGAUAGAGUAUUCAUUGAGCAGCAAACCGAUGAGCUCUUAAAAAGAGGUAUCAUCUGGUCCUCCACGAACUCUUUGAUAACAAGAAGCUCCUGCCAGCUGCAAAGAAGGGAAAGAGAAAGGCUACGACACCUGCUUCCGCUGGCAAGGGCGAGACCAAGAAACGAAAGACUGUGACUCCCAAGGCAGAGAAGAAGGGGAACGCAUCUCGAAAUCGGCCCACUGAUGAAGACGAGUCUGAGGCCGAGUCCAAGGAUUCUGUGCAAAACGAAGAGAAGGAGGAGCAGGAGGAA